CACAACCAUCUGAAGGAAGUUGAUAUGAACACGAACGCACUAAGAAGGGCUGGGGCUAGAGUGCUGGCUCGAACCGUGCUGCACAAAGAUGAGUUUAAAUUACUAAAUGUUAAUGGGAAUUUCAUCUCAGAAGAAGGUGUUGAUGAGUUGAAAGACAUCUUUAAGAAAUCUCCUGAAAUGCUUGCAUCCUUGGAAGAUAAUCAUUGAUGAGUUGAAAGACAUCUUUGAGAAAUCGCCUGAACUGCUUGCAUCCUUGGAGGAUAAUGACCCAGUGAGAGAAGAUGACGAUGAUGAUGAAGAGGAGAAAGAAUCCGGAGAUGAAGGCAAAGACGGUGAGGAUGAACUGGAAUCAAAACUCAAAAACCUUGACGUCAAGUGAGAUGAGGAGUCUUGACUCACCAGAUAGCAAUUAGAAUCCAAUAUUUGUUGACUUUAUGUAUGUUGCAAUUUUGGUUUUGCCAUCUUUUGUUUAUGCCAAGCUGGCCAUAUUAUGUUCCUCCAGCAGGUGCUAACAUAUAAUUCCAUCAGUCAUUUAAAUUUGGUGGGAUGAAUUGUUGCUUUAUUGGUCAAGUUAGGUCUAGCUAAAUAUACCAGAGAAAACAAUUAUUUAUGUUGAACUUUUUGGGGUUAUGUAGACUGAUGGUCUCACCCUUUUUUGUUCCUGUAUUGCAUUUGACUUGUUUGAUUUUAUUGGCGAACUGAAUACGUGUGCUAGUUUUCCUCCCUUAUGAGAUGAUUUUAUCAGACAAGCAAGCACGUCAUUGCUGGAGUCUGUAGGUUACCGGUGACAUUUUUCAAAAGCUGCUUUCAUUUG
rnacentral:lncRNA from 1 species